AGCGUGGAGACAGGUGGUGCAUGGCUGUCGUCAGCUCGUGUCGUGAGAUGUUGGGUUAAGUCCCGCAACGAGCGCAACCCUCACCCCUUGUUGCCAUCAGGUCAUGCUGGGCACUCUAGGGGAACUGCCCCGGUCAACGGGGAGGAAGGCGGGGAUGACGUCAAGUCAUCAUGCCCCUUACGCCCUGGGCUACACACGUGCUACAAUGGCCGGUACAAAGGGAUGCAACGCCGUGAGGCAGAGCCAAACCCAAAAAGCCGGUCUAAGUUCAGAUUGGAGUCUGCAACUCGACUCCAUGAAGGAGGAAUCGCUAGUAAUCGCGUAUCAGCGCGACGCGGUGAAUACGUUCCCGGGCCUUGUACACACCGCCCGUCACACCACGAAAGCCUGCUGUACUCGAAGUCGCUGAG
rnacentral:rRNA from 1 species